GGGAGCCUAUUGCCUUAAUAGGGCACGAUGGGUUCUGAGGAGGGGUUGCUGAGGUGACUCAGCAAUCUACUCAAAC
rnacentral:misc_RNA from 1 species